rnacentral:rRNA from 1 species
UGAGGAAUAUUGGUCAAUGGGCGAGAGCCUGAACCAGCCAAGUAGCGUGCAGGAUGACGGCCCUAUGGGUUGUAAACUGCUUUUAUAUGGGGAUAAAGUGGGGAACGUGUUCCCUUUUGCAGGUACCAUAUGAAUAAGGACCGGCUAAUUCCGUGCCAGCAGCCGCGGUAAUACGGAAGGUUCGGGCGUUAUCCGGAUUUAUUGGGUUUAAAGGGAGCGUAGGCCGUUUGGUAAGCGUGUUGUGAAAUGUAGGAGCUCAACUUCUAGAUUGCAGCGCGAACUGUCAGACUUGAGUGCGCACAACGUAGGCGGAAUUCAUGGUGUAGCGGUGAAAUGCUUAGAUAUCAUGAAGAACUCCGAUUGCGAAGGCAGCUUACGGGAGCGAAACUGACGCUGAAGCUCGAAGGUGCGGGUAUCGAACAGG